AUGUUAACUCGCAUAUCUGCUAUUAUGUGUAUAGGUAAACAUGCAUCGAAUAAUUUUUGCCUUUUAGAGGAAGAUUGCUUGGAAACAAACAGCAAAUGUUUUCCCACAGUUUCUCUUAAAACAGGCUCCUCACUCUUUCAUCUCUCAGUGGCAACAGUGGCUGCCAUGAACUCCAAAAUUUGGGAACUUUGAAGCAGUUGGAUUUAGGAGGAUAAAAACAGAAACUAACUUCCUGGGUUUUCUAAAUUCAUUCAUACAUGAUGAGAAGCUGCUCUUUGGUUCCAAGUAUCCUUCCUGCAUUGGCAUUUGCAAUCUUUAUAUGAUAUUAUGAGUCUUGACAGUUUCUGUAAGGUGAGCAAGCUAGAUACGAGAAGGUAUGGAGGUUCCUGACAGAAUAAUUUUUUAAUGAUUUUUUAAAAAAUGAAUAAUUUAAUAUACAAAUAUUUACUAAUAUUACGCUAUUACUUAUUAAUCAAUUAAUAAGUAAUAACUAUCAAGUGAUUAGAUAUUUCUUUUAAAAAGCAAUAUUUAAAGUACAUAUUGGGCAUACUUACAUGUUGUUAUUAUUCUAUGUGCAUGCACACAUAUGUAGAGUUAUUGCAUCGCACUACAGAGUGAUCCCUGACCAUUUGCCAAAGACUGGCUUGUGUCACAAUGAUUUGAGUCUAUCCCCAGUGUUCCCCACUAUGAAUGACCAGCUUUGUUCAUAUAGCAUAAUAUGAACAUAGAGAACUCCUUGUCUCAAUAUGCCCUACAGAUUUUGCACAUACCUAUUCACAUACCACAUGAGGAUAACAUGUAUUGCAUGCUGAACAUUUGUUUACCUCACUUUGCAACAGGCUGCAGGUCUCUGUUUUCUUUUGCAUCUGUUUCUGCUGUUGGUGCUUCUUAAGUGGUUUGUUGCUUGUGUUUGAGUAAUCUUUUCAGCACGUAAGGCCUGUCAUCAGCAGGAAGCUGUAUGUCCUGCAGGAUGUGGUCCAUAAGAGCUUCCAGAGCAUCAAAUGUGUGGAACAGAUCAGUAUCUUUGCAGAAAGUCCCUCACCAAACCUUAAAAGAAAACUAGCUAGUCGCAAAGUAAGACAGAAGGCCUAGGCAACAAUAUACAGUUGGUUAAAAAAGGUAAGAAAUAGAAUGUAAAUCAUUAGGGCUGGCAAAAGGGAGAGAGAUCACCAAUGGAUCUAUGAAGACUUGUGCUGCUCACCAGAAAAGGAGAUGAGCAAUGAGGUAAGAAAAUUGCAGAUAGUAAAUAGUUAUUCAUAAUAGUAAGUUUUAGAGCAUGCUGUGAAGAAUUGAAAGACAAUUCCAAGCCACUCUGUUUUGUAAUAAACUUAUACAGAUGAAAUUCA
rnacentral:lncRNA from 1 species